CCCCGUCGCAUGACGGGGUGACGAAAGGCGCAAGCCGCUCGAGGAUGGUCUCGCGUCCCAUUAGCUGGUUGGCGGGGUAACGGCCCACCAAGGCGAUGACGGGUAGCUGGUCUGAGAGGAUGGUCAGCCACACUGGGACUGAGACACUGCCCAGACUCCUACGGGAGGCUGCAGUCGAGAAUCUUCCGCAAUGGGCGAAAGCCUGACGGAGCGAUGCCGCGUGAGGGAUGAAGGUCUUCGGAUUGUAAACCUCUGUCACCCGGGACGAAGAAUGUGACGGUACCGGGAGAGGAAGCCACGGCUAACUACGUGCCAGCAGCCGCGGUAAUACGUAGGUGGCGAGCGUUACUCGGAUUCACUGGGCGUAAAGGGUCCGCAGGGGGUCUGCCAAGUCUGACGUGAAAGCCCACAGCUCAACUGUGGAACGGCGUUGGAUACUGGCGGGCUAGAGUGCACGAGAGGAGAGCGGAAUUCCUGGUGUAGCGGUGGAAUGCGUAGAUAUCAGGAGGAACACCCAUGGCGAAGGCAGCUCUCUGGCGUGCUACUGACCCUCAUGGACGAAAGCGUGGGUAGCAAACAGGAUUAGAUACCCUGGUAGUCCACGCUGUAAACGGUGCGCACUAGAUGUGGGCGGUACCUUUGGUCCCGUCCGUGUCUUAGCCAACGCGUUAAGUGCGCCGC
rnacentral:rRNA from 1 species